UGACCCCAGGUCAGGCGGGAUUACCCGCUGAGUUUA
rnacentral:rRNA from 2 species